UGGGGAAUAUUGCACAAUGGGGGAAACCCUGAUGCAGCGACGCCGCGUGAGCGAAGAAGUAUUUCGGUAUGUAAAGCUCUAUCAGCAGGGAAGAAGAAAGACGGUACCUGACUAAGAAGCCCCGGCUAACUACGUGCCAGCAGCCGCGGUAAUACGUAGGGGGCAAGCGUUAUCCGGAUUUACUGGGUGUAAAGGGAGCGCAGACGGCAUGGCAAGUCUGAAGUGAAAGGCAUGGGCUCAACCCGUGGACUGCUUUGGAAACUGUCAGGCUAGAGUGUCGGAGAGGCAAGUGGAAUUCCUAGUGUAGCGGUGAAAUGCGUAGAUAUUAGGAGGAACACCAGUGGCGAAGGCGGCUUGCUGGACGAUGACUGACGUUGAGGCUCGAAAGCGUGGGGAGCAAACA
rnacentral:rRNA from 1 species